AAGUCGUAACAAGGUUUCCGUAGGUGAACCUGCGGAAGGAUCAUUAUCGAGUUUUGAACGGGUUGUAGCUGGCCUCAGUACGGGGCAUGUGCACGCCUGGCUCAUCCACUCCUUAACCUCUGUGCACUUUUUGUAGGCUCUGGUUGAAAGGCGUUGCUUCACUUCGGUGUGGUAAUCGCUGGAAGACCUGGUCUAUGUUUUAUUACAAACGCUUCAGUUAUAGAAUGUUUAUCUGCGUAUAACGCAUUUAUAUACAACUUUCAGCAACGGAUCUCUUGGCUCUC
rnacentral:misc_RNA from 1 species